rnacentral:rRNA from 1 species
CCCUUAGAUGUUCUGGGCUGCACGCGUGCUACAAUGGCGCUUGCAACAAGUCUUGCCAACCCGAUAGGGUGAGCGGAUCUUUGAAGAGGCGUCGUGAUCGGGACAGUUGAUUGCAAUUAUUCGACUCGAACGAGGAAUUCCUUGUAAUCGCGAUUCAUCAUAUCGCGCUGAAUACGUCCCCGCCCUUUGUACACACCGCCCGUCGCUCCUACCGAUUGAGCGAUCCGGUGAAUGUUUUGGACUGGCGUCAGAAGCGGUUCGCUCCUGACACUACGAAAUUUUGUAAACCUUAUCGCUUAGAGGAAGGAAAAGUCGUAACA